rnacentral:rRNA from 1 species
AGAGUUUGAUCCUGGCUCAGAACGAACGCUGGCGGCGUGCCUAAUACAUGCAAGUCGAACGAGAAAGCACCCUUCGGGGUGUGAGUAAAGUGGCAGACGGGUGAGUAGUACGUAGGUAACCUGCCUUUGAGUGGGGAAUAACCUUCCGAAAGGAGGGCUAAUACCACAUAAGACCACAGUCACCACGGUGACAGGGGUAAAAGAUGACCUCUACUUGUAAGUUAUCACUUAAAGAUGGGCCUACGCACCAUUAGCUUGUUGGUAGGGUAACGGCCUACCAAGGCUGCGAUGGUUAGCUGAUCUGAGAGGUUGAUCAGCCACACUGGAACUGAGACACGGUCCAGACUCCUACGGGAGGCAGCAGUAGGGAAUUUUGCGCAAUGGGGGAAACCCUGACGCAGCGACGCCGUGUGAGCGAUGAAGGCCUUCGGGUCGUAAAGCUCUGUCAGAGGGGACGAAAAACAAUAUGGCUAAUAUCCAUGUUGCUUGACGGUACCUUCAGAGGAAGCACCGGCUAACUACGUGCCAGCAGCCGCGGUAAUACGUAGGGUGCUAGCGUUGUUCGGAAUCAUUGGGCGUAAAGCGCGUGUAGGUGGUAAUGCAAGUCGGGCGUGAAAGCCCUCGGCUCAACCGAGGAAGUGCGCUCGAAACUACAUUGCUAGAGGACGGUAGAGGGAGGUGGAAUUCCUAGUGUAGAGGUGAAAUUCGUAGAUAUUAGGAGGAAUACCGGUGGCGAAGGCGGCCUCCUGGGCCGUUCCUGACACUGAGACGCGAAAGCGUGGGUAGCAAACAGGAUUAGAUACCCUGGUAGUCCACGCCGUAAACGAUGAGUACUAGGUGUUGUGGGUCUUGACCCCCCCAGUACCGUAGCUAACGCAUUAAGUACUCCGCCUGGGAAGUACGGUCGCAAGAUUAAAACUCAAAGGAAUUGACGGGGGCCCGCACAAGCGGUGGAGCAUGUGGUUCAAUUCGAUGCAACGCGAAAAACCUUACCUGGGUUUGAAAUCCCCGGACAACCCUAGAGAUAGGGCUUUCCCUUCGGAGACCGGGUGACAGGUGCUGCAUGGCUGUCGUCAGCUCGUAUCGUGAGAUGUCGGGUUAAGUCCCUUAACGAGCGCAACCCUUGUCCUUAGUUGCCAUCAUUUAGUUGGGAACUCUGAGGAGACUGCCGGUGUUAAACCGGAGGAAGGUGGGGAUGACGUCAAGUCCUCAUGGCCCCUAUGUCCAGGGCUACACACGUGCUACAAUGGCCGGUACAGAGGGAUGCCAACCCGCGAGGGGGAGCUAAUCUCAGAAAGCCGGUCUCAGUUCGGAUUGGAGUCUGCAACUCGACUCCAUGAAGUUGGAAUCGCUAGUAAUCGCGAAUCAGCAGGUCGCGGUGAAUACGUUCCCGGGCCUUGUACACACCGCCCGUCACACCACGAAAGUUAGUUGCACCAGAAGUCAUUGUACCAACCUUCGGGAGGAAAGUGCCCAAGGUGCGAUUAAUGAUUGGGGUGAAGUCGUAACAAGGUA